rnacentral:rRNA from 1 species
ACCGGCAGCUCAAGUGGUGGCCAUUAUUAUUGGGCCUAAAGCGUUCGUAGCCGGUUUGAUAAGUCUCUGGUGAAAUCCCGCAGCUUAACUGUGGGACUUGCUGGAGAUACUAUCAGACUUGAGGUCGGGAGAGGUUAGGGGUACUCCCAGGGUAGGGGGGAAAGCAUAUAAUCCGGGGAGGACCACCUGUGGCGAAGGCGCCUAACGGGAAAGAACCUGACGGGGAGGAACGAAAGCAAGGGGAGCGAACCG